rnacentral:rRNA from 1 species
AAAGCGUGCGCAGGCGGUCUUGUAAGACAGAGGUGAAAUCCCCGGGCUCAACCUGGGAACUGCCUUUGUGACUGCAAGGCUAGAGUACGGCAGAGGGGGAUGGAAUUCCGCGUGUAGCAGUGAAAUGCGUAGAUAUGCGGAGGAACACCGAUGGCGAAGGCAAUCCCCUGGGCCUGUACUGACGCUCAUGCACGAAAGCGUGGGGAGCAAACAGGAUUAGAUACCCCUGU